UAGAUUUAAUCUUGAAUAGUGAAGAUCGUCCUUUCUCCUAGUAUUGUAGUUAUGCACACUGCUAUUACUUUUGAAUUGGGUUUGGUUGUUAAUAACAAAUUUCAUAAGAGAGUAUAUAUACUGAGAAGCUACUGUGAAUAUCCCUAGAUCCUUAAAUAAUUGUCUGCAGGAUGAUCUUGGGUGGACUCCAGCUAUUAUUCUGAUUACACGCUUUUGUGCAAUAAAUACUUUAUUCCUCAGUGAUGAAUUACCCCAAAAUAUGAUGCCAUAUGAAAGCAACGAGUGAAAAUAGGCGUAGUGUGAUUACUAUACUUGUAUCAUCAGCGAAGAGAACUAACUUUGCCUCUUCAUGAAUAUAGAAUGGGUUUUCUGUAAUUGGGGUGUUACACAUCCCCCCCUGACGAUGAAGUGGGUACGUGACUUCCUGUUUCAACGUACCUAAUCAGCACAUCACCACACUGAUGCAGCACCUGCACCAGACCAUGCAAGCUGCAAACAUGGCCUGGUUUGAAGCCAGUUUCCUCUCCUCCAUCAACUAUGGCGAAGCUGCCACAGACUCAGAUCGUAUAUGACAGCGAGUAUGAUCCGAUUACUCUUGCUCGUCUGGUCCAGUGGCUGCCUUCCCGGUACACUGCACUAAAACCUCAGCACAGUCUGUCUUAAGAAUGUCCGCAUCACCAUUGUUGUAUAUGCUGUAACAAUUAAAUCACUUCUCUUCU